rnacentral:rRNA from 1 species
GAUGAACGCUGGCGGCGUGCCUAACACAUGCAAGUCGAACGAAGCUUGACGGAUGAUUUCUUCGGAAUGAAACCAGAUAUGGCUUAGUGGCGGACGGGUGAGUAACACGUGAGCAACCUGCCUUUCAGAGGGGGAUAACGGCUGGAAACGGUCGCUAAUACCGCAUGAUGUGUUCGGAUGGCAUCAUCUGAACAUCAAAGAUUUAUCGCUGAAAGAUGGGCUCGCGUCUGAUUAGAUAGUUGGUGGGGUAACGGCCUACCAAGUCUACGAUCAGUAGCCGGACUGAGAGGUUGAACGGCCACAUUGGGACUGGGAUACGGCCCAGACUCCUACGGGAGGCAGCAGUGGGGAAUAUUGCACAAUGGGGGAAACCCUGAUGCAGCAACGCCGCGUGAAGGAUGACGGUUUUCGGAUUGUAAACUUCUUUUCUUAGUGACGAAGACAGUGACGGUAGCUAAGGAAUAAGCAUCGGCUAACUACGUG